rnacentral:rRNA from 1 species
GAUGAACGCUGGCGGCGUGCCUAAUACAUGCAAGUCGAGCGAACGGACGAGAAGCUUGCUUCUCUGAUGUUAGCGGCGGACGGGUGAGUAACACGUGGAUAACCUACCUAUAAGACUGGGAUAACUUCGGAAAACCGGAGCUAAUACCGGAUAAUAUUUUGAACCGCAUGGUUCAAAAGUGAAAGACGGUCUUGCUGUCACUUAUAGAUGGAUCCGCGCUGCAUUAGCUAGCUGGUAAGGUAACGGCUUACCAAGGCAACGAUGCAUAGCCGACCUGAGAGGGUGAUCGGCCACACUGGAACUGAGACACGGUCCAGACUCCUACGGGAGGCAGCAGUAGGGAAUCUUCCGCAAUGGGCGAAAGCCUGACGGAGCAACGCCGCGUGAGUGAUGAAGGUCUUCGGAUCGUAAAACUCUGUUAUUAGGGAAGAACAUAUGUGUAAGUAACUGUGCACAUCUUGACGGUACCUAAUCAGAAAGCCACGGCUAACUACGUG